CAGCACCUCAAGUGGUCAGGAUGAUUAUUGGGCCUAAAGCAUCCGUAGCCGGCGCUGUAAGUUUUCGGUUAAAUCUGUACGCUCAACGUACAGGCUGCCGGGAAUACUGCAGCGCUAGGGAGUGGGAGAGGUAGACGGUACUCGGUAGGAAGGGGUAAAAUCCUUUGAUCUAUUGAUGACCACCUGUGGCGAAGGAGGUCUACCAGAACACGUCCGACGGUGAGGGAUGAAAGCUGGGGGAGCAAACCGGAUUAGAUACCCGCGUAGUCC
rnacentral:rRNA from 1 species